CCUACGGGAGACAGCAGUGGGGAAUAUUGGGCAAUGGGCGCAAGCCUGACCCAGCAACGCCGCGUGAAGGAAGAAGGCUUUCGGGUUGUAAACUUCUUUUCUCAGGGACGAAGAAAGUGACGGUACCUGAUGAAUAAGCCACCGCUAACUACGUGCCAGCAGCCGCGGUAAUACGUAGGGGGCAAGUGUUAUCCGGAUUUAUUGGGUGUAAAGGGCGUGUAGGCGGGAGCGCAAGUCAGAUGUGAAAACUCAGGGCUCAACCCUGGGCCUGCAUUUGAAACUGUGUUUCUUGAGUGCUGGAGAGGCAAUCGGAAUUCCGUGUGUAGCGGUGAAAUGCGUAGAUAUACGGAGGAACACCAGUGGCGAAGGCGGAUUGCUGGACAGUAACUGACGCUGAGGCGCGAAAGCGUGGGGAGCAAACAGGAUUAGAUACCCCUGUAGUC
rnacentral:rRNA from 1 species